rnacentral:rRNA from 1 species
AUUGAACGCUGGCGGAAUGCUUUACACAUGCAAGUCGAACGGCAGCACGGACUUCGGUCUGGUGGCGAGUGGCGAACGGGUGAGUAAUGUAUCGGAACGUGCCCAGUCGUGGGGGAUAACGUAGUGAAAAUUACGCUAAUACCGCAUACGAUCUAUGGAUGAAAGCGGGGGAUCGCAAGACCUCGCGCGAUUGGAGCGGCCGAUAUCAGAUUCGGUAGUUGGUGGGGUAAAGGCCCACCAAGCCAACGAUCUGUAGCUGGUCUGAGAGGACGACCAGCCACACGGGAACUGAAACACGGUCCAGACUCUUACGGGAGGCAGCAGUGGGGAAUUUUGGACAAUGGGAGAAAGCCUGAUCCAGCCAUUCCGCGUGCAGGAUGAAGGCCCUCGGGUUGUAAACUGCUUUUGUACAGAACGAAAAGGUUUCUACUAAUACUAGGAGCUCAUGACGGUACCGUAAGAAUAAGCACCGGCUAACUACGUGCCAGCCGCCGGCGUAA